AGCGAACGCUGGCGGCAGGCCUAACACAUGCAAGUCGAACGAACCUUUCGGGGUUAGUGGCGGACGUGUGAGUAACACGUGGGAACGUGCCUUUAGGUUCGGAAUAACUCAGGGAAACUUGUGCUAAUACCGAAUGUGCCCUUCGGGGGAAAGAUUAAUCGCCUUUAGAGCGGCCCGCGUCUGAUUAGCUAGUUGGUUGAGGUAAUGGCUCACCAAGGCGACGAUCAGUAGCUGGUCUGAGAGGAUGAUCAGCCACAUUGGGACUGAGACACGGCCCAAACUCCUACGGGAGGCAGCAGUGGGGAAUCUUGCGCAAUGGGCGAAAGCCUGACGAAGCCAUGCCGCGUGAAUGAUGAAGGUCUUAGGAUUGUAAAAUUCUUUCACCGGGGACGAUAAUGACGGUACCCGGAGAAGAAGCCCCGGCUAACUUCGUG
rnacentral:rRNA from 1 species